rnacentral:rRNA from 1 species
CAGAUUGAACGCUGGCGGCAUGCCUUACACAUGCAAGUCGAACGGCAGCACGGGAGCAAUCCUGGUGGCGAGUGGCGAACGGGUGAGUAAUAUAUCGGAACGUGCCCAGUCGUGGGGGAUAACGCAGCGAAAGCUGUGCUAAUACCGCAUACGAUCUAUGGAUGAAAGCGGGGGAUCGCAAGACCUCGCGCGAUUGGAGCGGCCGAUAUCAGAUUAGCUAGUUGGUGGGGUAAAA